CCUACGGGAGGCAGCAGUGAGGAAUAUUGGUCAAUGGGCGGGAGCCUGAACCAGCCAAGCCGCGUGAGGGAAGAAGGUACAGCGUAUCGUAAACCUCUUUUGUCAGGGAACAAAGGCGGGGACUAGUCCCCGGAUGAGGGUACCUGAAGAAAAAGCAUCGGCUAACUCCGUGCCAGCAGCCGCGGUAAUACGGAGGAUGCGAGCGUUAUCCGGAUUUAUUGGGUUUAAAGGGUGCGCAGGCGGCCUGUUAAGUCAGCGGGAAAAGCCCGGGGCUAAACCCCGGCGAGCCGUUGAAACGGGCGGGCUGGAGUGGAAGAGAAGUACGCGGAAUGCGCGGUGUAGCGGUGAAAUGCGUAGAUAUCGCGCAGAACCCCGAUUGCGAAGGCAGCGUACCGGCUCCACACUGACGCUGAGGCACGAAAGCGUGGGUAUCGAACAGGAUUAGAUACCCUGGUAGUC
rnacentral:rRNA from 1 species